rnacentral:tRNA from 1 species
GGAGAAAUAGUUUAACGUAAAACUUCGGUCUUCAAAACCGACAUUAUAGGUUCGAAUCCUGUUUUCUUCG